GUUUUGUGUCUGUUGUUUUUCGCGCCUUAUUGUGUCUCAAUCGGCCUGGCGCGCGUCCUACGAUAGGCGCACCAACAGGGCGAGUCCUUCCUUUUGUUUGUUUUGCGCUAUCCCCCGCAGCCACUCGUACUAGCCCGCGGAGCCGCGCGAGGUCCAGUCGAGGACGCGCACGCAUCUCUCCUCUCCGCCAUCGCGCGGCGCGAAUUGAGCGAUGGGUCGAAAAAAAAGGACCACCGUUUGGUCGGUUCGAUAGUGCCACCAAUCAUCGCGCACCGCCCGAUUGCCCACGAGACGGCCACCAUAAAAUCAUGUGG
rnacentral:lncRNA from 1 species